AAAUUAACCAGGCUAAAAAAAUGUAUUGUAAAAUUACAGUCAAUAAACAACAGUAAAUAAGCAGAAUGUAUAUAUUAGAUAUGUAGAGCAAUUCAGUGAACUUUUAUUGAACUUGAGCUGCCUCUAAGCAACAUUACUUAACAGUAGGUAGACAGUUAUGCAGACAUGCUACUUAAAAACAGUCUCAACAAGUUUAUCAAGGAAAAUGUCCAUACUAAUCAGCACUAAGGCAUUGCUGCUCGUCAGUAAGAACAUUUUAAUCAAGCGUGCACUAAGUGGGUGGGUUUCAUUUUAAUUACUCCAAUAAAGGCAAUGGAAUGGAGCACAUGGGCAUAAUGAAUGGAAAUGUAGCCUGCAUUAAGAACAACAGAGUGGGAAAUAAACAAAGGCAGAGAUACUAAUGGGAGAAAUGGUUAGUGUCUUUAGUUUUUAGUUUAAUUAAUGUAAAUAUAGUGUUAAUUGUUGCCAUCAUGCCAUCAGAUCCUAGAGAAGAACAAGAGAGAUGAUGGCCUCUUGUCAAAGCUUUUCCUCACUUGAUCAGCCUGCUCUCUCAUCUAAAUCCACGCCUGUAUUUUGCACUGAUCUUGAUUCCUAACCUGUGUACGCUGUCAGCUGAACUCUCCUCUCACCUGCUGUGCUGAGCUCUGACAGAUCCAGGCAGAACACAACACCAGCGCUAUUCUGGGUGUGAUGUCUUGAGAUGGGAGCAACACUCUCACAGUGCACAUUCAGGAGUUUGUUUAAAGGUAUUGCCGGAUAUCACGAAGGGAUUUUCAAACAGAUCCAAAUGCAUGUGGGCCUCAGCGCACUCCUGAAAACUACAUUUCUGCAGUAGACCAUUUACAGUCUAAGGGACAACAAAACAUUGAAGCAACGGGUGAAUCAGAGCUAAACAUUUCAAACAUCAGCAAUGACAUUGAUGCUGUAUUACCUGACCUCCCAAUCACAACAAAAAAAUCUCUUGAGGACACUGUAAAAUCACUUGGAGUGGAGACCCCGAGAUUUCAGAUUUCUUAAGGAAUCAGAUCUGGCAGCUGUACUGAGGCCCAUUCAAGCCAGGAAAUUUAUUUCUGUUCUAAAGGAGACCACACAAAUUUCCGAAAACCCACAGCAAACAGUCUGCUCCGGGAUCUUUUCUGUCCCAGAGUUCUUCAUGCUCAUCUCCCAACACCUCCCCUCCUAGUGUGAACUGGGUGGACAGCUUUGAAGUCCCAUGGAAUAAGUUUCCUGAGGAAUUAAUGCAGGCACUUGAGAGACAGAAAAGACCAAUUCCUCGGUUGUGUAGGGAAAUGGUGAGGAUUGUUGUUGCGGCAAUUAUGAAAGUUUGUACUUGUCCAAGUAGGAUGAAAUUAACGGAGGUCGCCAAAAGGAUGGUUGCUAAAUAUCCAAAGUCUUUGCAAGAUGUGAUUGAAGAGAGUGUGAUUGGUCCUGGAUACUACUCCUUGGUCAAACUAUUUCAAGCCAGAGUCGAAGAUGCAGGAAGGACCAGCACACCAAAAAUAAAAAAGCGCAUUCAUGAUGCAAAGCAAUGUGACACUGAGGAAGUCACACCUGAAAAAAGAGCUGCAGUUCAGGAUACAUACUAUACGGCUGCAUCAAUUGGGAACUUCGAUUUAUGCCCCUCAGUGAAACUGUUGAGAGUCAGCAGUUGAAAAAGAGAAGAUGAGGAGUCUGUCACAAACAAAUGACUGGAAUGAAGAGGAAGUGAAGGUUCUCAUGAAGUCUACAUACUACAGUCAACGAAAAGAUAUCAACAAAGGAACAGAAAUGAAAAUUCUCACUGAUGACUGGCCAUUUUUGUUUCAGGAAAGUGGAAUGGAAGUGCACUUUAAAGACCUCACAGGGAUACCACUUAAAGAGACCUUCCUGAACAGCACAGACGGAAAAGGAAAUAGGCUGUUGAACUUCAUGAGUACUGUUUGUGCAACCAAGAACAAGUCUUACAGGCUAUCACAAAAUUACAAGUUUUGAGAGGACAGACAAAUGGUUGCUCUGAGGAUGUGAAAGACAUGAUUCUUCUACUUAUCUCCUAUUUUAAUAAGAAAGAGGAGCUUCUUCUUCAUUAUGUAGAACAGACAAGUCUCGCAAAGGAUGUAGAGUUGGAAAACCUGCCUGUGACGCCUUGCAUUAUUGUGUGCGGACGCUCCUGCUAUGCUGCUGUUUGAUUCAUGCUCAGUCUGGACCGCAAGAUUGUGAACGAUGACAUCACUACUCUCAUCGCUGCUGUUUGCCUAAUGUUUGGCAGUUACUGCUGUUUCAACAUUCAAUACCCUUCUGAACUGCCGUCAGUGCUUGAAUUCCCGCACAGGUAUGUAAAGACAUCAAGGUGUUUUUUCAACAUCAAUCCCGAAAAGGGCACAAAAGUUGUGGAAAA